UUGCCACAUCAUCAUCGACAGUUAUUCUUUCAUUAAUUAUCAAAAGAGAAACUGAACAGUUUCUUUCUCGUCACUGUUUACAAUUGAAAAAAAAAAAAAAAAAAUUUCUCUCUCGCGACAGAGAACUUCCUCGCCGCCGACGACGAAGAUAAUACUCCUUUUACACAGUACUCGCCGCCGACGCUCUCUCUGUUUCGCUCUUCAAACUCGCCUUCAGUCGCUGUGAAGAGAAGAAGUCGCCGUGAGUGAGUCGUCGUUUCGUUGCUACAUUCGAGACCUUUCGUAUUCCGGUAAGUGUCGAACUGUAUUUAGAGUUUUUCCGACUAUACU
rnacentral:lncRNA from 1 species